GGCUUAAUUUACCUCAACACGGGAAACCUCACCCGGCCCGGACACGGAAAGGAUUAACAGAUUGAUAGCUCUUUCUUGAUUCUGUGGGUGGUGGUGCAUGGCCGUUCUUAGUUGGUGGACUCCCAGGGGCGCACACCAGCCGUGCAGCAGCCCUGUGCAGGCAGAGGGCCGAAAAACCGCAAAGUCCACAGCUAGUCUACCAGGGGCACGAAACCCCCUCAGCUGUACCAGGGACACGUAACUCCUGCCAGCGGGGCUAUUGGUGUAUAACCCAGGGGAGGGUGCUUAAGAGUGCGUAUGCAGGUUUGGCUGGUGGUGCAUGGCCGUUUUUAGUUGGUGGAGCGAUUUGUCUGGUUAAUUCCGAUAACAAACGAGACUCCGGCAUGCUAACUAGCUCUAGCAGUUGGUCCCGGAUAACCGGCCUCAGUCGGUGAGUAGAGCCGUUUGUGACAGGGCUGGGGCGCGGUCGGAUGAUGGUCGCCC
rnacentral:ncRNA from 1 species